GGAACGAUGACCUGAGGCAAGAAUUCAAAGCAGAAAUCAGCGUUUUGCAUCCAAACCAACUUGUUUUCCUCGACGAAACAGGAAUUGAUAAACGAAUUGCUCGACAGUUCGGAUAUAGCGCUCGUGGAACACCUGCUAUUGUUUAGGACUUUAGCUAUGCACGAUGGGCGCCUCAUUAUUCGGCAAUUUCAGCGAUAUCGAGUGACGGGCUUCUGGCUAACGGCUUGCUAAAGAAUGCAGAUGAGAGAUUUGACACUCACUCUUUUAUACGGUUUCUUGAUGAGCAACUUUUACCGGCAAUGAAUGUGUUCAAUGGGGAAAACCCGCGAUCCGUCCUCGUAAUGGAUAACCAUCCAGUGCAUCAUGCCCAAGAAGUGAUCGAUCACAUUUAUGACUCAGGAGUAAUUAUCCGCUUUUUACCACCAUACAGUCCUGACUUGAACCCAAUCGAAGAGGCUUUUGCCGAAGUGAAACACUACUUACGACAGUAUUGAUUUAGUAUUGCAACUAUUUGGUAUUGCAAUCAGUGCGAGAUCCUAGCCCGCUUAUAUGGGAAGCUUUUGGGCAAAUAACAUUCAGUGAUUGUCUGGGGUACAUGCAUCACGCUGGCUAUAAUUAUUUGAUCCGCGGAAAUUGCAAAAUAUUAUUUCAUCUUAUGUAUUUAUAGAGGCUCUAAUUAUAACGACGAUAUAUAUCCAUGUUAGACGGGAAAAUUUGAAACGCAAUGCUUAAAGUUCCCUCGAUAAUAUAAUAUUCUUAGGUUACUGAAAGUGCAUGAUAGCAUGCAUGGCUCCGUUAUACAAGUAUGCAGCCUAUAUAGCGUUGCGUGUCACCAGCGUUGUGGCGUACAUAAGAAAAAUAUAAACCGAAACUGUGUAUAAUUUAACUUGAUAUA